rnacentral:rRNA from 2 species
ACCUCAGAGCAGGCGAGAU